UCCCCAAUUUUCAAAGCUUGAGACACUGCAAGUAUCAUUGGUUAAGGAGAAUUUCAUACUUUACCAACAAAAGGACUUUCAGAGCAGCAAUAUACAGAUAUGUGAUAUUAGACAGAGGUCAAAUGUCCAAAUAGCUGUUCCCUAUAGGUCAGUGGCUGUACCCUAUAGGUCAGUGUACCCUGUAGGUCAGUGGCUGUACCUUACAGGUCAGUGUACCCUGUAGGUCAGUGGCUGUACCUUACAGGUCAGUGUACCCUGUAGGUCAGUGGCUGUACCUUACAGGUCAGUGUACCCUGUAGGUCAGUGGCUGUACCUUACAGGUCAGUGUACCCUAUAGGUCAGUGUACCCUAUAGGUCAGUGUACCCUGUAGGUCAGUGGCUGUACCCUAGAGGUCAGUGUACCCUACAGGUCAGUGUACCCUACAGGUCAGUCAGUGUACCCUAUAGGUCAGUGGCUGUACCUUACAGGUCAGUGUACCCUGUAGGUCAGUGGCUGUACCCUAUAGGUCAGUGGCUGUACCCUAUAGGUCAGUGUACCCUACAGGUCAGUGGCUGUACCCUACAGGUCAGUGGCUGUACCCUACAGGUCAGUGUACCCUACAGGUCAGUCAGUGUACCCUAUAGGUCAGUGGCUGUACCUUACAGGUCAGUGUAUCCUAUAGGUCAGUGGCUGUACCUUACAGGUCAGUGUACCCUAUAGGUCAGUGGCUGUACCCUAUAGGUCAGUGUACCCUACAGGUCAGUGGCUGUACCCUACAGGUCAGUGGCUGUACCCUACAGGUCAGUCAGUGUACCCUAUAGGUCAGUGGCUGUACCUUACAGGUCAGUGUAUCCUAUAGGUCAGUGGCUGUACCUUACAGGUCAGUGUACCCUGUAGGUCAGUGGCUGUACCCUAUAGGUCAGUGGCUGUACCCUAUAGGUCAGUGGCUGUACCUUACAGGUCAGUGUACCCUACAGGACAGUGGCUAUACCCUACAGGACAGUGGCUAUACCCUACAGGUCAGUGGCUAUACCCUACAGGUCAGUGGCUAUACCCUACAGGUCAGUGGCUGUACCCUACAGGUCAGUGGCUGUACCCUAUAGGUCAGUGUACCCUACAGGUCAGUGUACCCUACAGGUCAGUGGCUGUACCCCACAGGGCAGUGUACCCUACAGGUCAGUGUACCCUACAGGUCAGUGUACCCUACAGGUCAGUGGCUGUACCCUACAGGUCAGUGGCUGUACCCUACAGGUCAGUGUACCCUACAGGUCAGUGUACCCUACAGGUCAGUGUACCCUAUAGGUCAGUGUACCCUACAGGUCAGUGUACCCUAUAGGUCAGUGUACCCUACAGGUCAGUGUACCCUAUAGGUCAGUGUACCA